rnacentral:rRNA from 1 species
GAUGAACGCUGGCGGCGUGCCUAAUACAUGCAAGUCGAGCGAACAGACGAGGAGCUUGCUCCUCUGACGAUAGCGGCGGACGGGUGAGUAACACGUGGAUAACCUACCUAUAAGACUGGGAUAACUUCGGGAAACCGGAGCUAAUACCGGAUAAUAUAUUGAACCGCAUGGUUCAAUAGUGAAAGACGGUUUUGCUGUCACUUAUAGAUGGAUCCGCGCCGCAUUAGCUAGUUGGUAAGGUAACGGCUUACCAAGGCAACGAUGCGUAGCCGACCUGAGAGGGGGAUCGGCCACACUGGAACUGAGACACGGUCCAGACUCCUACGGGAGGCAGCAGUAGGGAAUCUUCCGCAAUGGGCGAAAGCCUGACGGAGCAACGCCGCGUGAGUGAUGAAGGUCUUCGGAUCGUAAAACUCUGUUAUUAGGGAAGAACAAAUGUGUAAGUAACUAUGCACGUCUUGACGGUACCUAAGCAGAAAGCCACGGCUAACUACGU